UUUUGCAUUGGCUUUGCGCGCCAUGAUGCUAUUGCCGACAGCAUGCAGAAGGUGGGUUUUACCCAAGCCUGUACCGCCAUA
rnacentral:antisense_RNA from 1 species